rnacentral:misc_RNA from 1 species
UCUCCGUUGGUGAACCAGCGGAGGGAUCAUUACUGAGUUUACGCUCUAUAACCCUUUGUGAACAUACCUAUAACUGUUGCUUCGGCGGGUAGGGUCUCCGCGACCCUCCCGGCCCGGACCGGACCCCCCGCGGGACCGGACCCGGCGCCCGCCGGAGGAUAACCAAACUCUGAUUUAACGACGUUUCUUCUGAGUGGUACAAGCAAAUAAUCAAAACUUUUAACAACGGAUCUCUUGGUUCUGGCAUCGAUGAAGAACGCAGC